ACAUAUUUAAUAAUAUAAUAUAUUAUUAAAAAUAUGUAUAUUCAGUGUAUAUAUACACAUACACAUUGAAUAAAUGACACAGUGGGAAUUAAGGAAGUUUGGGUGCCCCUAGCGCCUCCCAGGAUGAAGGCUUUAUCAAUGAAUUACUAAAUGAUUGUUCACGAAGUCUUCAACAAUGGUCAUUUGUAAUUCACCCUCUCUUCCUAUAUGUGUGGUCCUUCAAGGCCGCUUUUUCCUGUUGUUACACUAGUGAGAGGGAACCGAACGGGCUCAUAUUCAGCUUAAGGCACAAGCGAACCCCGUUUGCCUUCAACCCUGAGACCCGCCUCCCAGCUUGGCAGUUAGGGUGGCCCUUAAGGUCUCAUUUGGCAUCAAGGAGAGAUUUCCAGUCUGCCAAGUUUUCACAGUGAGUGAAUCAUUGUCUGAGAAAAUGACCUCUGAAUAUACAUAUAUGGGACUAUUCAGAAGGGCUAUGCAGCAGGAUUCAGAGGAAAGACUAUUAAAAUUCCAGUGUACACCAGUAAAUCUACAGUUUCAUCAUAAAUUACAAUCAGGAAUCAUUUUGUCUCAUGGCCUCGCUCCCUGCGUGGGGAGGUGGUUUCAGUUCCAGGGCCAGCGAGGCGAAUACGGUGCGGGGAGGGCUCUGAGAAAGGAACAGAACCCAAAUCACUUUCCUUCUUUAGUUGACGAAUCUCAGGGCUUAAAAUGCUACAAACAAUUGAGAUUGUAAAUGUAUCUCGUCUGUUUCUCUGAGCCUGCCUUCAGUCAACAAAUGUUUUCUAUUCACCAGCCUAAGAAGCAGCUUUGGUGCUGUCCCUUGCGGGAUCCCACUUAGUUAUCUUUUAGAGGAAAUACCAAGGCAUAUUUCCCCCAUUCCUGAAGUAUAAGAUGGUGUCACUAAUACUGUGGCUUAGUAAAAUGGGAAGAAAUACACUGAGGAUUCUGAAAUCUUCCCUCAGCUGCCUUGAAGAAUUGGGUCAAUAACCUUUAGAGUGGUGAAGAUGGCUCAGGAAUAGAUUAAUAGACUCACAAAUUCUAGAACAAGAGAAGACUUCAAAGGUCGUAGGGCCCAGCCCUGUCUUUUGGAAGUCGAGUUACUAAUUUUGUACUGAGAUGGCGACUGAAACUCGGAGGAUUGUUUCUCUGCCUGGAUCAUACGGCAACGUCACCAGCACUGCCACUGCGCAGUGUUCAGAGAGCGCGAAGACCUCCAUCACCUUCUAGCUCAGUCGGGUCGCCUCGGCCUCCAGCUGCCGGGCCCUUGUGGAGUUUCUUCCCACGGAUUUUUCAUCCUCCCCAGCUCCCCAGGCCCCUUCUAAACCCUGUAAUACACUGCAGGUUCUUCUGGCGCUCCCACCACCCGCCUGGCCUCCCUUCUCUGCCUCGAGGAGAUUUGGCUGCGUAUAGAGGAACAGGGAAGAUUUUUAAUACCAUCUUUUCAUCUGACCUAAAUCUUUCGUGUGGAAGUUGAGCCAUGUCCCCUGUGGAGAGGAAGAACGGAGGAGAUCGAAAUUCAGCCUUUAAAGUACCCAGUUAAAUUUAGUGUUUCGAAUUAGGGAGACUCAAGCAUCAGCACCGAACUGGGUCACGUCAUUUGAUGUUUUCCGAGAGGAGGACACCACAGAAAUCUGACUCUUGGUUCUGGUAUCAGAGUCAAAGUCCCCCAUACUCGAGGUUAAUAAAGGGAUUGGGAGGUGGGAGGGAAAGGGUGUGAUUUCAAGGUUUGUGGCAGUUACCACAAAACCACUGCAUUAAUGCAAACCAGAAUUAAAACCACAUAGUAUAAAAUGUCAUGCCCACACGUCUAUUUGUCCAGCAAAUCUCAAGGCAGCCAGCCCGAACCUGGGCACCCCAGUGGACUUGAAGACAGGUGAAGCCAAGCAACCUCAGAAUGAGAACUUCCCCAUUAAUAACCUUUAAACAUGACCUUUCAUUAGCUUAACAAAACCUAAGAAAUGCGCAUGUAUUCAAGAAAAGCAGUAAGUAAGAUGAAUUACUGUGUUUUAAGCCAUAAUGUUCAAUUAAUUAGUAAUUUCCAUCCAGCCUGCUGCCUGACUCAUAAUGAGCAUUCUCUAGUCUAAAUAAAGUGGAGACUGCUUAGUUACAGA
rnacentral:lncRNA from 1 species